rnacentral:rRNA from 1 species
UUGAUGAGCUCAUGUCCUAUCAGCUUGUUGGUAGGGUAACGGCCUACCAAGGCUUUGACGGGUAGCUGGUCUGAGAGGACGAUCAGCCACACUGGCACUGCGACACGGGCCAGACUCCUACGGGAGGCAGCAGUAAGGAAUAUUGCGCAAUGGGCGAAAGCCUGACGCAGCGACGCCGCGUGGGGGAUGAAGGUCUUCGGAUUGUAAACCCCUUUCGGGGGGGAAGAUGGAGCGAGCAAUCGUUCGGACGGUACCUCCAGAAGCAGCCACGGCCAACUUCGUGCCAGCAGCCGCGGUAAUACGAAGGUGGCAAGCGUUGUUCGGAUUCACUGGGCGUACAGGGUGUGUAGGCGGUUUGGUAAGCCUUCUGUUAAAGCUUCGGGCCCAACCCGGAAAGCGCAGAGGGGUACUGCCAGGCUAGAGGGUGGGAGAGGAGCGCGGAAUUCCCCGGUGUAGCGGUGAAAUGCGUAGAGAUCGGGAGGAAGGCCGGUGGCGAAGGCGGCGCUCUGGAACAUACCUGACGCUGAGACACGAAAGCGGGGGGGAGCAAACAGGAUUAUAUACCCGGGUAGUCCCACGCCCUAACUAUGGGAUACUAAGUGUCGGC